GCCUUCUUAGUUCAGUGGCUAGAAUUUUCCACUAGUAGUGUGCUCCUCUGCGAGUCUUACUAUGGAACGGUCACCCGUUCGAUUCGGGUAGAAGGCA